rnacentral:lncRNA from 1 species
CUUCUCCUUCUUGGGGCCCUUCACCUUGAUGGUGUUGCCGAAGGCGUCAAUCACCUCAUCCUGCUGCUUGAUCUCCACCUUCUCCUUAAUGGCGAUCAGGUUGUCACCCUCGCGCACCAUCUUGCCGCCGCCCACGAUCCACCGCUCAUUGCACAGCGCGGACACGAACUCGUUGUGGUGAGAGAUGACGACGAUGCCGCCGCCGAAGUCCUUGAUGGCGCCGGCCAGAGCGCCCAGCGAGUCGCGGUCCAGGUAGUUGGUGGGCUCGUCCAGCACGAUCAGGUGGGGGUUCUGCCAGGUGGCGGCAGCCAGCACGACCUUCACCUUCUGGCCGCCCGACAGGCCGCGGAUGUGGCUGUGCAGGGCGAACUCCGACUCCAGGCCCAGGUCCUCCAGGUGCUUCUGGAUCGAGGCGGUGGUGAGCGGGCGGGUGAACAGGCCCAGCGCGGCGGCCUCCUUGAUGUCCAGCUCGUUCACCAGCUUCUCGUAGCCCAGCUCCACCAGGGUGUCGCGGGGCAGCCAGCUGGUCUGGUCGGCGGCGGUGUUGGCCCACUGCACCUCGUACUCGUACGACUUCUUCAGCUUGCGGCGAGCCAGCAGCUUCUCCACCGAGCGCUUGACCUGUUGUGUGAAGAGGAGCGAGGAAAAUGGGAGCGCGGCGUGAAUCACGUGGAGGAGGACACAUGGCAGCCUGCGGGACCUAUUACUGAUGCUUGACCAAGCUCGCUCGCCAUCUGACCCGUCCCCACGUGUACUGAUGCAACUCCAAUUUGCCCUCCAUUACAGCUCCUCUCCCGACACGCCUGCUCCUGCUCCACGUGGGCCCAGCAAACCUGCCCUGCUCCUCCUCCCUGUCCUGCUCGCCCUUCCUCUCACCUUCGGGUCGUCGCCGAUCUGCACCUUGUUCUCCUGCAGCUUCUUCUGCUCCUCCUCGGUCAGGCGGGUCUCCUUCUCCUGGGCCUCGCGGUCCUCACCGGGGGCGAAGCGCCACUGGAUGUACUCGUUGGGAGUCUGCGCGGGAACAGAAAUACGAGGAUGGCGGGUCAGGCGGGGUCAAUCAACCAUCAAUACCGUCACUGCUUGUCAGGACGGCCGACGCAGCAUCGAGCUGUCGAGACACUCAUACCCACGCCUAAGCCCGGGCGAACCACCCCCUCCCACCCACCUUGUCCAGGUGCUUCUCCAGGUGGUGGAAGGCGUGCUGCGCCACGUAGGCGAUGCGCAGGUUGGGGUGCUUCCACACGGUGCCGGCCACGGGCUCCACCUCGCCGGUCAGCACCUUGAUCAGGGUCGACUUGCCGGCGCCGUUGGGGCCAAUGCAGGCCACGCGCGACGACAGGGUGCAGUAGGCGGUGGCGCCCUCGAAGAUCAUGCGGUCGGUGUUGGGGUACUUGUAGGACACGCGGUCGGCCUUCAGGAUGGCCUUGUCCUUGGUCUUGACACCCUCCAGGUAGCCGGGCUCGGGCAGCUUGAAGGUCAGGGUGGAGGCAGUCAGCUCGUAGUAGGCCUUGGCCUCGGGCUUCUGCUCCACGAACUUCGAGAGGUUGCCCUUGUACACGCGCAGCUUGCGGUUGUUGUAGUCGAUGAUGUGCGUGCACACGUGGUCCAGGAAGCCGGAGUCGUGCGACACAAUGAUGGAGGACACCUCGUCCAGGCCCACCAGGUAGUCCUCCAGCCACUUGACGUUGUGCACGUCCAGAUGGUUGGUGGGCUCGUCCAGGAGCAUGAUGUCGGGCUUCAUCAGCAUGGUGCGGGCCAGCGCCAGCUUCAUCUUCCAGCCGCCGGACAGCGAGCCCACGGCCUUGUUCAGCAGCUCCUCGGUGAAGCCGACGGACGAGAGCAUGCUGGUCACCUGCUCCUUGGUGGUGUUCACGGCGGCCUGCAGGUUCUCGUCGGCGAAGACGAACUCCACGCAGUUCAGGUCCGACAGCGAGCCGUCGAUGUCGUGCUCCACGUACACGGUGCGCAGCACGUCCUUGGGCGGGAAGCCGUCCACCUGGCCGUUGGCAAUGGCGCGCAUCAGCGUGGACUUGCCCACGCCGUUGGGGCCGCACAGGCCGUAGCGGCGGCCACGCUUCAGGCGCAGCGCGGCGUUGUUGAGCAGAAUCUUGGCACCGUACGCCAGCGAGAACUCGCAGUUGCACAGCUCCUCGCCCUCCUCGUCGUCGAAGUACUCGGUGGACUUGACCU